rnacentral:misc_RNA from 1 species
CUGUGCCCGUAUCAGGGAGUGGCCGGCUCGGCGGCGGCGUGGGUAGAGGCAAAGAUGGAUCGGCCGCUAGCGUUGUCGUCAGAGAUGGAUCGGCCGCUAGCUGCCUGCUUUUCCCUGUUACUGGUGGCAAUGGAUCACCGCCGCAAGCAUCUCGCUAAAUCCGAUCUACCUGGCGGGCUAAACAGAAAGGCCUGUGUGCUCCGCCUGCUUCCUCCCGUGACAGCGUGUGCUCGUGGCUUCCCUGCGGCGCUCGGCAGGCCACCGCUGGCUGCCAACGGCGCGCACCAGACGCUAGAUCGGGCUGCCCAGGGCAGUUAA